UACGGGGGGGGUAAGCGUUGUUCGGAAUUACUGGGCGUAAAGGCUCGUAGGCGGCCAACUAAGUCGGAUGUGAAAUCCCCAGGCUCAACCUGGGAACUGCAUCCGAUACUGGAUGGCUUGAAUUCGGGAGAGGGAUGCAGAAUUCCAGGUGUAGCGGUGAAAUGCGUAGAUAUCUGGAGGAAUACCGGUGGCGAAGGCGGCAUCCUGGGACCGACAUU
rnacentral:rRNA from 1 species